rnacentral:lncRNA from 1 species
UAAUUAUAAUGUGUUUUGGUGUGGAUUUCUUUGAGUUUAUCAAAUUUGGAUUUUGCUCAACUUCAUAGGUAUAUGGCUUCUGCCAAACUUAGGAAGUUGUCACGUAUUAUUUAUCUGAAUACUUUUUGAGCUUUACACUCUUUUUCCUCUCCUUCUGGAACUCCAAUAAUAUGAAGAUUAGAUUUUUGUUGUUGUUGUUACUGCGUCUUAGUCUCCUGAUCUUUCUUUAGGAAGAGACUUGCCCCAGAUGCACGUGGCUGCUGCUCACUUUGGGGUAAAGGCAUUGCAGAGGUUUGCAAAUACUCUCUUCCAAACUUGCCUGUUCAUCCCUUAUUUUCCUAAAUGUCUCCUUAUUUGAAUGUAAAUUCUAUGAGAUUCUAGGGAAUUUCAUGAGAUAGACCAAUGUCACCUUAGUUACUACAAUGUCUCAGUCACCAGAGACAUGCCAAUUAAAUGGAGAGUGAGGAGUAAAUGUAAAAAUGGUAGAAUGCCUUUAAUGAAUUUUAUUUACCUGAAAUCAUUGUACACAUGGUUUUUUUAAUUUUGUUUUGUUUUGAGACUGAGUCUUGCUCUGUUGCCAGGCUGGAGUGCAAUGGCGCGAUCUUGGAUCACUGCAACCUCCGCCUCCUGGUUCAAGCAAUUCUUUGCCUCAGCCUCCCAAGUAGCUGGGAUUACAGGUGCCUGCCACCAUACCCAGCUAAUUUUUGUAUUUUUAGUAGAGAUGGGGUUUCACCAUCUUGGCCAGGCUGGUCUUGAACUCCUGACCUCGUGAUCCACCCACCUCGGCCUCCCAAAGCGCUGGGAUUAUAGGCGUGAGCCACUGUGCCUGGCCAUACACAUAGUUUUAAAAGUGUUUUUAUUGCUUUGUUUCUGAUUGCAGAUAAUACGUAUCAGUUAUAGAAAUGUGGAAUGUGAGCAUAAGAAAAAGAAAUGAUUACUUGUGACACCAUCAUCAGAGGUAACUAUGUUUGUAUACAUAUACUAACGUACAAUACAUAUACAUAUUUGGAUCUAUGCAUAUGUAUACAAACAUUACAUAAAGAGAUAGUUGGGUCUGGCAUUUGAUUUUAUCCCUGUUAGUCUUUUGUGGAUUCUGACAGUUGCUACAAGACUUCUAGGUCACAGACAACAUUAUUACUCACAGCACAGCAAGCAGCCGGACCAUCAGCAUGUUUGUGUCAGUUCCUCUUGCUCCCAAGUCCCAUGAGGCUGACACAGUGAACCCACACAGCACUUGCACAGGCAGUGAGUUGCACACAGAAGAAGAAUGCAAGCUUGGAGGAAUCUGUUGCUUUUAUAGCAAGCAGUAAGCAAACCUGCUCCUUAUUCCAGAGGGAAACAUGAUCUCAUCCUUCAGUGCAGCUUGCUGCAAACACAACCUUGAGAAGUGGCCUUGGCAAAGAGUAUUUAGGGCCUCUUUUUUUUUUUUUUGAAAUGGAGUCUUGCUCUUUUGCCCAGGCUGGAGUGCAGUGGUGCAAUCUUGGCUCACUGCAUCCUCUGCCUCCCAGGUUCAAGUGAUUCUUCGGCCUCAGCCUCCCAAGCAGCUGAGAUUACAGGCACCCGCCACCACACCCAGCUAAUUUUUGUAUUUUUAGUAGAGAUGGGGUUUCACCAUGUUGACCAGGCUGGUCUCAAACUCCUGACCUCAGGUGAUCCAUCUGCCUCGGCCUCCCAAAGUGCUGGAAUUACAGGCGUGAGCCACCAUGCUCGGCUUGGGGCCUCCCAUUCUUGUCAUACCUGGUAAGAUGUGUAGAAGCAUGAGAGAUGCAUACGGGACUGUCUCUCUCAACACAUACAUUUCAUAUAAGGAGCAUAGUUCAUAACGUUUGAGUCACAGUAAUGUGGUGUAUUAGUCCGUUCUCACACUGCCAUAAAGAAUCGCCCAAGACUGGGUAAUUUCUAAAGAAAAGAAGUUUGAUUGGCUCACAGUUCUGCAUGGCUUGGGAGGCCUCAGGAAACUUACAAUCAUGGCUGAAGGGGAAGCAGGCACAUCUUACAUGGCAGCAGGUGAGAUAGUGUGUGAAGGAAGUGAAGGGGAGAGAGUCCCUUAUGAAACUAUCAGAUCUCGUGAGAACUCACUCACUAUCGUGAGAAUAGCAUGGGGGAAACCAGCCCUAUAAUCCCAUCACCUUCCACCAAUUCCUUCCCUCGAUACCUGGGGAUUACAAUUCGAUAUGAGAUUUGGGUGGGGACACAAACCCAAACCAUAUCAUGUGGUCCUCCCUAGUACUCAGCAAGACUGGGAGACAGGUGACUGAGGAGAGCCUUCUGUAGCUCAAAGUCUUCAUCAGUACUGACCAUUUCAGCCCAGUGUUCAGGAGAAAUUCAGGGAACUGUUGAAGCAGUGAAGACCAAGAGAUAAAAGUGCUUCUGUGGAAACCUCUGUCACAAGGGUUGGAGGCUGUGGGGAUUUGCACAGCAACACUGUGUGACAGAGGAGAGAAGAUAUGAGGGAGCAGCUGCCAACGUUCACAAAGAUUGCCAUGGAUGGGGUCAUCUGCUCAACACAUUCUCUAGGUAGAGAGCACAUCUGUUUUUGAAAGUGAAAUGGUAGUCCUUGUUUCAGAAAAGAGAACAAGAGUUUAGCAUUUUUGAGGGAUCACCCCCUUUGGUGGAAGUCAUCUGAUAUGAGUGAAUUUGGACCUGUGAAUAGUGGAGAUAAGCCCAUUCCAGAGCAGGGCAUGGGGUGACCAUGUGGAGGAGAUGACAGUGGAUUCUAC